ACUCCUACGGUGAGGCAGCAGUGGGGAAUAUUGCACAAUGGGCGAAAGCCUGAUGCAGCAACGCCGCGUGAGGGACGAAGGCCUUCGGGUUGUAAACCUCUUUUAGUAGGGAAGAAGCGAAAGUGACGGUACCUGCAGAAAAAGCACCGGCUAACUACGUGCCAGCAGCCGCGGUAAUACGUAGGGUGCAAGCGUUGUCCGGAAUUAUUGGGCGUAAAGAGCUCGUAGGCGGUUUGUCGCGUCUGCUGUGAAAACCCGAGGCUCAACCUCGGGCCUGCAGUGGGUACGGGCAGACUAGAGUGCGGUAGGGGAGAUUGGAAUUCCUGGUGUAGCGGUGGAAUGCGCAGAUAUCAGGAGGAACACCAAUGGCGAAGGCAGAUCUCUGGGCCGUAACUGACGCUGAGGAG
rnacentral:rRNA from 1 species